ACCAGACUCCUACGGGAGGCAGCAGUGGGGGAUAUUGCACAAUGGGGGGAACCCUGAUGCAGCGACGCCGCGUGGGUGAAGAAGCGCCUCGGCGCGUAAAGCCCUGUCAGCAGGGAAGAAAAUGACGGUACCUGAAGAAGAAGCCCCGGCUAACUACGUGCCAGCAGCCGCGGUAAUACGUAGGGGGCAAGCGUUAUCCGGAUUUACUGGGUGUAAAGGGGGCGCAGACGGCGAUGCAAGCCAGGAGUGAAAGCCCGGGGCCCAACCCCGGGACUGCUCUUGGAACUGCGUGGCUGGAGUGCAGGAGGGGCAGGCGGAAUUCCUGGUGUAGCGGUGAAAUGCGUAGAUAUCAGGAGGAACACCGGUGGCGAAGGCGGCCUGCUGGACUGCAACUGACGUUGAGGCCCGAAAGCGUGGGGAGCAAACAGGAUUAGAUACCCGCGUAAA
rnacentral:rRNA from 1 species